UACAGAGGUCUCAAGCGUUGUUCGGAUUCAUUGGGCGUAAAGGGUGCGUAGGUGGCGCGGUAAGUCGGGUGUGAAAUUUCGGAGCUUAACUCCGAAACUGCAUUCGAUACUGCCGUGCUUGAGGACUGGAGAGGAGACUGGAAUUUACGGUGAGCAGUGAAAUGCGUAGAUAUCGAUAAGGAAGACCAGUGGCGAAGGCGGG
rnacentral:rRNA from 1 species